AAGACAGAAUCUUGAUGACUAAGACAUUUUCUUUGGACAGAGACAUCAUGGCCUCCAUGCAGAGGAAUGUGUGGAUGGACAUAUAUUUAAGGAAGACACUAAACCAGAAAAUACCACAUUACACCCUCUUAAAAGACUUCUAAGAUUGUUGUCAUGCCUACCACAGACAUUCAGAUGAUGUGUAUUCUUGAUUGUGAUUUCAUUUUUCUAGCUGAUGAAGGAGAAAGUACCUGGAAUGUCCUAGAAUUCUCAAGACCCAGGAGAUGAACAUAUGCCUGAGAAGAAGAACUAGUGUGGAACUGUCAGCCAGGUUUUUGAUGAGUGCUCAGACUGCUUCCUGAUCCGGCACCACAUUUACUAUAGUGGACAGAUGCUCUAGUCUCUGAUGAGGAGUUGC
rnacentral:lncRNA from 1 species